rnacentral:rRNA from 2 species
AAAACGACUCUCGGCAACGGAUAUCUAGGCUCUCGCAUCGAUGAAGAACGUAGCGAAAUGCGAUACUUGGUGUGAAUUGCAGAAUCCCGUGAACCAUCGAGUCUUUGAACGCAAGUUGCGCCCGAAGCCAUUAGGCUGAGGGCACGCUUGCCUGGGCGUCACG